rnacentral:rRNA from 1 species
CCUACGGGAGGCAGCAGUGGGGAAUAUUGCGCAAUGGGGGAAACCCUGACGCAGCAACGCCGCGUGCGGGAUGACGGCCUUCGGGUUGUAAACCGCUUUCAGCAGGGAAGAACAUCGACGGUACCUGCAGAAGAAGCCCCGGCUAACUACGUGCCAGCAGCCGCGGUAAUACGUAGGGGGCGAGCGUUAUCCGGAUUCAUUGGGCGUAAAGCGCGCGUAGGCGGGUGCCUAAGCGGGACCUCUAACCUCGGGGCUCAACCCCGAGCCGGGUCCCGAACUGGGCGCCUCGAGUGCGGUAGGGGAGAUCGGAAUUCCCGGUGUAGCGGUGGAAUGCGCAGAUAUCGGGAAGAACACCGAUGGCGAAGGCAGAUCUCUGGGCCGCCACUGACGCUGAGGCGCGAAAGCUAGGGGAGCGAACAGGAUUAGAUACCCGUGUAGUC